CUCUGUGACUCCUACGGGAGGCAGCAGUGGGGAAUAUUGCACAAUGGGCGCAAGCCUGAUGCAGCAACGCCGCGUGAGUGAUGAAGGCCUUCGGGUCGUAAAGCUCUGUCCUCAAGGAAGAAUAAAUGACGGUACUUGAGGAGGAAGCCCCCGGCUAACUACGUGCCAGCAGCCGCGGUAAUACGUAGGGGCAAGCGUUAUCCGGAAUCACUGGGCGUAAAGGGUGCGUAGGCGGUUUUCAAGUCAGAAGUGAAAGGCUAUGGCUCAACCAUAGUAAGCUUUUGAAACUGUUAAACUUGAGUGCAGGAGAGGAAAGUGGAAUUCCUAGUGUAGAGGUGAAAUUCGUAGAUAUUAGGAGGAACACCAGUGGCGAAGGCGACUUUCUGGACUGUAACUGACGCUGAGGCACGAAAGCGUGGGGAGCGAACAGGAUUAGAUACCCUGGUAG
rnacentral:rRNA from 1 species